rnacentral:piRNA from 1 species
UCCUAUGGGUUCUUGCCUUGUGCCAGGCUC